rnacentral:rRNA from 1 species
CGUUCCCGGGUCUUGUACACACCGCCCGUCACACCAUGGGAGCGGGUUUUACCAGAAGUAGGUAGCCUAACCGCAAGGAGGGCGAUUACCACGGCAGGGUUCGUGACUGGGGUG